rnacentral:lncRNA from 1 species
UGACGUUGAAGGUGAGUUUGCAGUUUUGCUUGAGAUUGUGGUGUGGUUUUAACCUAUAAAAGAAGAUGAACUGAAAAAGUGUGGUUGGAAUUUUUGCAGUUGUGUCUGGAUGAAAUAAUUCUAGGGGUAAAGCUUCAAGUAUGAAGAGUAACUUUGCUGCUACAAGUAAAAGGUAAUGACUACAAUUUACAUGGUGCUCUUGCUAGAUAGAUAGAUAUAUAGAUAGAUAGAAGAUAACGAUUCACGAGCUCAUGAGCUGAGUUUUAUCUUAGGUAGAAAGCUGGCAUUUUAAAUCGAAUGCUGUUAGUGUGGUUACAUUACGUAAUUCAUAUGUUUAAUGCCAACCACCUUUAAUCAUGAGAUUGUCACUCACUAUACCAAAAAAAUAUAUAAAAAAAUACUACUCCUUCCGUCUA